CCUACUCUAAUAAGGCUUUUGAUAUCUGGAGCUCAUAGGUGGGAGAUAAAGUAUACAUACUUACAAGACAUUUAUUGCAUAGUCAAACCAUGGAUCCAAAGAAACAAGUCAAUAAGUCAAAUCAAGAUGUGCAUGUGUGGCGAAUGAAUGGUAUAUGGUGAUGAUGGUGAUAACAAUGGUGAAAGUCUAAUUCUACUUUUGCUCUUUUAAGGGGAUACAUACCUUUCUUGCCCUUUUGAAACUUUUGAGGAGAAUGAGAUGCUCUAUAUUUUCUUUUUCUUUCCUCUCACGUGGGUCUCUUGUACCUCUAAUUCUACUGUCGGACACUUAUCCAUUUUUACCUCUCGUCUCACUUUUUCUUUCGAGGUUCCGGGCACUUGCCCCUUUUUAUUUCCUCGCAUCUCUUUUUCUCUUUUUUUAGAGCACUCAUCUCCUGAAAUAAUAUAGCAAGUGGUAGUAACCAAGAUAACUUGAGCAUUUAUUUCACAAGGGAAAAACAGAAAUAUUUUUGGCUAUUCUCUCCCAGAUUAGGAGUAGAAUAUUUUUGAGUGGUUCUGGAGAUGGAAAUGAGUGGAUAUAUGUGGAUGCGUACUUGUAGAGUAGAAGCAGCAUGUGCGAGUGAACGUGCAAGUGAAUCUUGAUUUAACCACAUGACAAGCUCCUAAGGGUCUACACAGCUUGACCACACUCAAUGCUCAUAAGCAGUAAAAAGUAAAUGUGUGGCUCAAAGUCUAGCAAGCAUGUAUAUAUGGCUAU
rnacentral:lncRNA from 1 species